rnacentral:rRNA from 1 species
AUGCAUUUGCAACUGAACAAUGUCCUGGCACGAGCACCCAGCGCCGGCCUGGAGGAGCAGGUCCUGGGCGCCAUACCGGUCGCCCUGCGCCCCUGCCACCUGAUCGAGGCCGGCACGGAGCUGCAGCUGGCCACGCGGGCCCCUGGCGACGCCAUCGAGGAGGAGCUCCCGCCCCUGUCCAUCUGCAAACGGCGGAGGGCAAUGUUGAGCGUGAACUCCUCGUCCGACGCGGACGAGCUCGAGCCCUCCCUGGCAAGCGCCGUCCAGUCAAUGUCGGACUCGCUGCCGGAUCCGUUCCCGACCAUGGUGGAGGGGUGGGUAGAGGGCCGGGAGGGAAGGGGAGAUGGCAGUGGAGCCGAGAGGUCGAGAGUGAGGUUUGACUAG